GGUGGGUGGUCAAAGGUUGAGGCUUCAAAUCCAGCUUACGGC
rnacentral:tRNA from 1 species